rfam:Pristionchus pacificus strain PS312 contig5624, whole genome shotgun sequence.
UCUUCAUCUUGCGUACUCUCUCGCCGGCCAGACCGACGAGAGAGCACGCAAAAUGAGGAGA